rnacentral:rRNA from 1 species
GGGCGUCUUAGUUCGUGGAGUGAUCUGUCUGCUUAAUUGCGUUUCACUAAGGGCCCAUAAAUUCAAGGUAUGUUAGCUAUCGUUUCUCAAUUGACCCCUUGUCUUCGAUAAGCGCGUGUCUUUUAGAGUUUAAACAUUGCGCAUGCUGUUGGGUCCUGAAAGCAACGAACGUGACCGCAACGUCUUAUUGCCUUUAUCUUGUUAUAUUCUAAUUUAAUUAGGAAUAACUAACAGAGGCUAAUUUAAAAUUAGACGGACCGCUGUACUUUUCUUAAACCAGAGGAAGGUUGCGGCAAUAACAGGUCUGUGAUGCCCUUAGAUGUUCCGGGCUGCACACGUGCUACAAUGAUCAGUACAGUGAGCAUCUCAAUAUUAUACACCGUAUUAAGCGCUUAGUUGCGAUUAUUGGCUCAUUAUUGGGUCUUUUAAUUGUAUUUCUAAUGCGCGCGGUAAAGCCUGCUUCGAGAGUAAGUGGGUAAUCCAUUGGAAGUAAUGAUUUCUCUUUUUAU